rnacentral:lncRNA from 1 species
AAGAUCUUGACAUCGUAUCUGCAUCAGAGUAAUUAAGCGACUAGCAAAUGUCGAAGGACAUCGAAGAACAUGAGUUGAUUGAGUUCACGGAGGCUGAAAACUUCGGAAACAAGUAUGGAUUUUCAUUUAAAUUAUAUCAGUUAUUUUCAUCUGUUAAUUCUUCUCAUGUUAUUUUAUCUUUAUUAUUCUGCUUAUGGCCAUGUACCAGACGGCUUUAAAAAAAUCAAGUACGUCUUCAAAAGUGUCAAUUUUUGGGAACCAUUUUCUCACCAUAACUACAUCGUCUUGAAACCAAUCAUACUGUGUCAUCUGUAUAUUCAACCAUGUACCAGACCAUGUAUCAGACGGCCCAAUUGGGUAGUUUCUCGUUCAGUGCUAGAAGUAGCCAUUGACCGAUGUCUGGAAGUGGGUUAGUGGGUUAGUUGAUCUGCAUACAUUAAUAUAUUAGGGAUUAGUCAUCUAGUGUGUGUCAUCGUGUCAUUGCGUCCCUCUGGUGUGUGUCAUCUGUAUAUGUCAUCGUGUCAUCUGGUGUGUUAUAAUACGUGUAUGAGAUAAAUAAAUACCUCAUUAAUAGACACGUAUCAAAUUAGAUAAAUAAUACUUGUAUGAGAUAAAUAAAUACCUCAUUUGACAGAUGUAUAAUAUAAAAAUAAUACGUGUCUAUUCUAUAUUUAUAAGAUUUAAAAAAAAU